rnacentral:rRNA from 1 species
CCUACGGGAGGCAGCAGUGGGGAAUUUUGGACAAUGGGCGAAAGCCUGAUCCAGCAAUGCCGCGUGAGUGAAGAAGGCCUUCGGGUUGUAAAGCUCUUUUGUCAGGGAAGAAACGGUGUGGGCUAAUAUCCUGCACUAAUGACGGUACCUGAAGAAUAAGCACCGGCUAACUACGUGCCAGCAGCCGCGGUAAUACGUAGGGUGCAAGCGUUAAUCGGAAUUACUGGGCGUAAAGCGUGCGCAGGCGGUUUUGUAAGUCUGUCGUGAAAUCCCCGGGCUCAACCUGGGAAUUGCGAUGGAGACUGCAAGGCUAGAAUCUGGCAGAGGGGGGUAGAAUUCCACGUGUAGCAGUGAAAUGCGUAGAGAUGUGGAGGAACACCGAUGGCGAAGGCAGCCCCCUGGGUCAAGAUUGACGCUCAUGCACGAAAGCGUGGGGAGCAAACAGGAUUAGAUACCCUGGUAGUCCACGCCCUAAACGAUGUCUACUAGUUGUCGGUUUUAAUUACGUUGGUAACGCAGCUACGUCGUGAGUAGACCGCCGUCGGGAGGUACGGUCGGUCGAGAAGUUAAACGUUACGUAAGUUAGUUAAGUUAGACGGCGUUAGAGAGCGACGACGACGACGAGGAGGAGG